GCCGAUGCAAGCAAUGAAAAUGUUGUUGAGGCCAUGGGCACUAAUGUGCGCUUUGAUUAUUCAACAGAAUAUUGUACUUGGAACAAAAAAAGAUUUUAUAGGCAUUUUAAAGCAAUAUCAACCAUGUAGGACCAUUUCUAAUUUAUUCAUAAAAAGACAGAAAAUAUAAAAGUGUAGUUUUGUGUAGCAAAGUGAUUGGGAUAGCUGCACAAACCUGAUCAAUUUCUAUUUUGGAACCUUAUAAUAUAUCCGAAUAUAAUAUCCGCUGUAAAUAUAUCUAAUACAUUUUUCAUUUUCUUAGAAGAGUCAGGGCACUGCAUUAUAUAGUUUUCAUGUUCGUUGUUG